rfam:Paeniclostridium sordellii ATCC 9714 gcs9714.contig.99, whole genome shotgun sequence.
AAAAUAAAUAUGCAAACCUAGAGAAAUCUAGCUACGCAAAGCUAAAGGGGCUAAGGUCAAAGACUAUGCCAGCCAGUUGCCAAA